GGAUGCGAUCAUACCAGCACUA
rnacentral:sRNA from 1 species